rnacentral:rRNA from 1 species
AUUGAACGCUGGCGGCAUGCCUUACACAUGCAAGUCGAACGGCAGCACGGGAGCAAUCCUGGUGGCGAGUGGCGAACGGGUGAGUAAUACAUCGGAACGUGCCCAAUCGUGGGGGAUAACGCAGCGAAAGCUGUGCUAAUACCGCAUACGAUCUACGGAUGAAAGCCGGGGACCGCAAGGCCUUGCGCGAAUGGAGCGGCCGAUGGCAGAUUAGGUAGUUGGUGGGGUAAAGGCUCACCAAGCCAACGAUCUGUAGCUGGUCUGAGAGGACGACCAGCCACACUGGGACUGAGACACGGCCCAGACUCCUACGGGAGGCAGCAGUGGGGAAUUUUGGACAAUGGGCGCAAGCCUGAUCCAGCCAUGCCGCGUGCAGGAUGAAGGCCUUCGGGUUGUAAACUGCUUUUGUACGGAACGAAACGGCCUUUUCUAAUAAAGAGGGCUAAUGACGGUACCGUAAGAAUAAGCACCGGCUAACUACGUG